rnacentral:rRNA from 1 species
ACUGGGUCUAAUACCGGAUAUGACCAACUGUCGCAUGGUGGUUGGUGGAAAGCUUUUGCGGUGUGGGAUGGGCCCGCGGCCUAUCAGCUUGUUGGUGGGGUAAUGGCCUACCAAGGCGACGACGGGUAGCCGACCUGAGAGGGUGAUCGGCCACACUGGGACUGAGACACGGCCCAGACUCCUACGGGAGGCAGCAGUGGGGAAUAUUGCACAAUGGGCGCAAGCCUGAUGCAGCGACGCCGCGUGAGGGAUGACGGCCUUCGGGUUGUAAACCUCUUUCACCAGGGACGAAGCGGAAGUGACGGUACCUGGAGAAGAAGCACCGGCCAACUACGUGCCAGCAGCCGCGGUAAUACGUAGGGUGCGAGCGUUGUCCGGAAUUACUGGGCGUAAAGAGCUCGUAGGCGGUUUGUCGCGUCGUCUGUGAAAUUCUGCAACUCAAUUGCAGGCGUGCAGGCGAUACGGGCAGACUUGAGUACUACAGGGGAGACUGGAAUUCCUGGUGUAGCGGUGAAAUGCGCAGAUAUCAGGAGGAACACCGGUG